GACGAACGCUGGCGGCGUGCCUAAUACAUGCAAGUAGAACGCUGAAGAGAGGAGCUUGCUCUUCUUGGAUGAGUUGCGAACGGGUGAGUAACGCGUAGGUAACCUGCCUUGUAGCGGGGGAUAACUAUUGGAAACGAUAGCUAAUACCGCAUAACAAUGAAUGACACAUGUCAUUUAUUUGAAAGGGGCACUUGCUCCACUACAAGAUGGACCUGCGUUGUAUUAGCUAGUAGGUGAGGUAACGGCUCACCUAGGCGAAGAUACAUAGCCGACCUGAGAGGGUGAUCGGCCACACUGGGACUGAGACACGGCCCAGACUCCUACGGGAGGCAGCAGUAGGGAAUCUUCGGCAAUGGGGGCAACCCUGACCGAGCAACGCCGCGUGAGUGAAGAAGGUUUUCGGAUCGUAAAGCUCUGUUGUAAGUCAAGAACGAGUGUGAGAGUGGAAAGUUCACACUGUGACGGUAGCUUACCAGAAAGGGACGGCUAACUACGUGCCAGCAGCCGCCGUAA
rnacentral:rRNA from 1 species